rnacentral:rRNA from 1 species
CGUGAGGAACUUGCCCAUGAGCGGGGGACAACAUUCGGAAACGGAUGCUAAUACCCCAUAGGUGGAUUGGUCGCAUGACGAAUUCAUUAAAGGUGGCUUUGCUACCACUCAUGGAUAGCCUCGCGGCGUAUUAGCUAGUUGGUGAGGUAAUGGCUUACCAAGGCAGUGAUACGUAGCCGACUUGAGAGGGUGAUCGGCCACACUGGGACUGAGACACGGCCCAG